rnacentral:rRNA from 1 species
UACGUAGGGUGCGAACGUUGUCCGGAAUUAUUGGGCGUAAAGGGUUCGUAGGUGGCCGGCUAAGUCAGACGUGAAAUCCCUCAGCUUAACUGGGGAACUGCGUCUGAGACUGGUCGGCUUGAGUGCAGGAGAGGAACGCGGAAUUCCAGGUGUAGCGGUGAAAUGCGCAGAUAUCAGGAAGAACACCCGUGGCGAAGGCGGCUCUCUGGGACGGUACUGACGCUGAGACGCGAAAGCGUGGGGAGCGAACAGG